AGGCUAACGCUACUCACUGCCUCAGCAAACAUUUAUUAGAGUUAAGGUUCACUGGUCUCUCUCUUUUCCACUCUACUUCCACUUUCUCUUUCCAGUCAACGCAUUCAUAUCAUAUGUCUGUAAAGCAGUUUCACUUUCAAAAGCAGAGGGACACUUGAGCAAACAGGCACUGAAAAGUCCACCAGCAGCUUGUAAGAACCCAUAGGACUCCUCCAGUUCUUCCUCUGAGUAUCCCAUGCCUCUCCUUUCAGUUCGGAAGGCCUCAUACUGUCCAACAACAAGAAAGAGGUCAUUCUUUAUGUCGCAUGCGACCAACAUCUUGCUAGCAAAAGUCAAGAGAUUUUAUGUAAACAUGUACUUAACAACUGACUGAACAGCACAAUAAAUACUAAGUAUGUACUAUAAAAUAUAACACAUUUACUAUCGUGUAGAAGUACAAGUACGAUCAUGUAUUAUCAAGUAUUACAAAGAUAUCAUGUAAUAACUGAACUCUCUGGUCAGAGGGAGGCGGCGCACUGAGGGGUAAGCAGGUGGAUUAAAAAGUUACCAAGUCGUCAAAUAUACUGACCCGGUCUUGCAGGGUGGCAUUCUUUAUCAAGAAAGCAGAGUUGUAUCUGAAAGACUGCUUAGACUCCUCAUACAUGUACAUGUUCUGCAGUGGAGGCAGAAUACUGUUGUCGAAGGGCUCGGAACCUGGUAGUACAGGUAACAAAACACCUGGUGGUUGGAACAGGAUGAAGAUUAAAACGUGACUUUACCGCAGGGUUGUAAAUUGUUAUGUUUUGUACCAACAGUUGCCAUGCAUUUGUAACUACCAUAUGAAUAUAUUAUAUAAUUGUUUCUAUUAUAUUCUAGUCUAUUCAAGGUGCCUUGCAUUGGUAACUACCAUAUAUAUAUAUAUAUGAUAGUAUUUUCUAUUACCUUCUAUUCUAGGUGUCAUGCAUUUGUAACAUCCAUACCGAUUCUAUUCAGUUUUCAAUUCUAUUCUAGGUGUCUUGCAUUUGUGACAACCAUUUUCAUUCUAUUCUAUAUAUUCUAUUUUGAGUUAGCCGUAAAUACAGGUGAGCAUGUUGUUAAAAGAACAAUAUAAAAGUAUGUAGACAUCACUUCAAAUGAGUGGAUUUGGCUAUUUCAGCCAAACCCAUUGCUGACAGGUAUAUAAAAUCGAGCACACAGCCAUGCAAUCUCUAUAGACAAACAUUGGCAGUAGAAUGGCCUUACUGAAGAGCCCAGUGACUAUCAACAUGGCACCUUCAUUGGAUGCCACCUUUCCAACAAGUCAGUUCGACAAAUUUCUGCCCAGCUAGAGCUGCACCAGUCAACUGUAAGUGCUGUUAUUGUGAAGUGGAAACGUCUAGGAGUAACAAUGGCUCUGCCGCGAAGUGGUAGACCACACAAGCUCACAGAAUGGGUCUGGCAAUUGCUGAAGCGCGUAGCAUGUACAGAGUUCCAAACUGCCUCUGGAAGCAACGUCAGCACAUUAACUGUUCGUCGGGAGCUUCAUGAAAUGGGUUUCCAUGGCCUAGCAGCCGCACACAAGCCUAAGAUCACCAUGCCCCCGUGCACAAAGCGAGGUCUAUACAGAAAUGGUUUGUUGAGAUCAUUGUGGAAGAACUUGACUGGCCUGCAGAGCCCUGACCUAAACCCCAUCGAACUUUGGGUUGAAUUGGAAUGCCGACUGUGAGCCAGGCCUAAUCGCCCAACAUCAGUGCCCGACCUCACUAAUGCUCUUGUGGCUGAAUGGAAGCAAGUCCCCACAGCAAUGUUCUAACAUCUUGUGGAAAGCCUUCCCAGAAGAGUGGAGGUUGUUAUAGCAGCAAAGGGGGUACCAACUCCAUAUUAAUGCCCAUGAUUUUGGAAGGAGAUGUUCGACGUGCAGGUGUCCACAUACCUUUGCUCAUGUAGUGUAUUUAUGCCAAAAAUAGUGUUUUACCUAUGGAACUGCAUUAUCUGGAGUGCUUACGAAUGCUAACGACAGUGAAGUUAGACCAGUAACCUAUGCACACGUGACAAAAUACUGUAAACACUGUAACACUCAUAAAUAGACCUAAAACCAAUGAUGUAUGACUACAACCAAUUCUCGAAAUAGUCAAAUGUAAAUGAUAAAUAGCUAUCAUAUACAAGUGUUAUAAGAGUGAUGAACGAAUUAUGGUUGACCAAAAACUCUAUUCGUCACCUCUUGCGGCACCAUUCUCGAUUUCCAUGGUUGAAAAAAACGUAUGAAAUCAGUUUGUGCCUUUUUCUCCUCUUGACAUUCGCACACCACCUCCGUCUUCCAUUGACAUUCCGAUACUUUUAAUUUGUCUAUUCCGAGAAAAAUGUAGCCAAUCCAUAUGAAUUAUCUGGCGAAGUCUUUGUGCCAAAGGCAAGUUUCCACAUACGUUGCAACCAGGAAGAAGUACGAAAAAGAAAAAACGUCGCGAUUAGAACACACUUCGAGAUUUUGUGAAUUUUUCUGACACUAUACUCAGAUAUUUGUCACAAAUAGCAUAUAUAUAUAUAUAUUCACCGAGUAAUGUAAUAUUAACUCAACGUAAAGUUGUGCUUCCAAAAAAGAAACAGAAACUUAUGUCACCCCGCAUCCAUUUUGAGACUGAUUUGCUUUCUUGUCUCCACUCCGCUAGUAGACGCAGUUGAGUAGAUGCUUGAGCAUUUGAACAGCAUGCACAAACUGAAACUGUCCAUGAAUGGAAUACAUUAUGUCCAUUAAAAUAUUUUAGGUGUGGGAAACAUAUGCUGUACUAGGCAUUUAGAGCAGACUGUAAUUUACAGUAGGCCUACAUCUUUUACCGACAUUUACAAAUAGGAAAAUGUGUUAUAUUCAGUGAAGAAGUGGAACUUUUCUAUGUGGCGUUAUACGUGUCUACACCUCGAUUGUAAAACGUAACAUUCAACUAACAACUGAAAAGGCAAUGCCGCAAUAGAGUGACUAUUAGAAGACUCGAACUGCUAACGCACGAGAACCGGAAGUGACGAAUGCUAAGGGGAGGAGAGUGGACGUAAGUGGAAAUUUACGUUCAAUUUUUGGAAGGCUGUGUGCAUUUCAAUCUUUGGAAGGCUGUGUGCAUUUCAAUCUUAGGAAGGCUGUGUGCAUUUCAAUCUUUGGAAGGCUGUGUGUAUUCCAAACCCUUAAAAGAGACAUCCUAUCCCCUCAGCCCUCAAAUUAAGUAAACACUUCUGAUGACGUGUCCUGACGUCUGACGAGUAUACACUUCCAGGGCAAGGGGCGAGGGAGAAACAUUGACGGCAGUACCCCUCUAUGCGAUGCAUGUGCGACGGUGAGCCUGGAGUGUGUAAAACUGCUCAUACAGCAUGGGGCUACGGUCAACCCUCCACUGUUUACCUCCACACCCAUCCCGAGGCCUGCGUGGGAGGUACAUUUUGUUUUUGAUUACAACAAUGUUAAUGUUGUGGGAGAGGAGGGCAGCUGUCUUGGACACCACACACAGUAUAAAGACACACACUGGGAUGAUUUGUAGUUUACUCACCUUUAAUAACCAAGUGUCUUAAACUAUGACUGCCGUUUUUGUGUGUGUGUUACACGUAACUCUUGAGUGUGUUCAGCUCAUGAUAGAUGUAGGAGCUCUGAUGGAGGCCCAUGACUGCCACUUUGUAGCAGCGUCCUAAAUAUAUUGACAUAGUAAAAUAAACGUGUGUAAAAAAAUAAAGGAUAUUUCAUGCUGAAAUGCUCAUUAAAAAAUGGUAUUCACUAAGUUGCUGGUUUAUAUUUAGGAUAAUGUUUUACAGAUUUGUCAUUCUAUUUGUUAUUUUAAAAUCAUCUUAUUUAAUUAUUUCAUAUAUUUUACAUGUAAUAAGGCAACAGGGACAGAGAUAAUUAGACACCUGUGAUAAUCUGAAGUACCAAAAAGGGCCACUAGAUGUCUUGUGAUAGAUUACAUAAAAUCCUUGAAAGAUAUGAAAGGUUUCCAGUAAUAUACCCUCCCUUUGCAACCCUUCUCCAAGACAGCACAAACAGAUCUGGGACCAGGCUAGUCUCGUCCAACCUGAAUUCUUAAAUCUUCUAGCUAAGCUUUUAGGAUUGUGUAAAUAAUGUAAAUAAUACAAUAAAUGUAUUUGAUUUGUGUAAAUUCCAUUAAUACUGUAUAUGUAUGUAGCCAAAUGCAAGACUAUUAAGUUUAUAAGUGUGAAAUUGUCUUCUUCUGCAUGAUCUCUGCAUGAUUGGAGUGUUGAAAAUGUGGGUUUUACGGGUGUCAAGUACACCCCUUCAAAUGAAUAUCUGCAGGUUAUCAUAUUCAAUCAUGUUAAUACUUUUUACCCUUCAAUUUUUUGCUUUACUGAAGUUACAUUUGAAAUAAUAUGUUAAAGGUUGGAAAAUAAAAAGUGCCAUAUUCAGUACUUUUUGAGGACGAGAAAUUCAAAACUAUGACAAACUGUCACACGAAACGCUCUGUUUGAGAAGAAUGAGGAAGGAACGUCUUGUCCGAUGGUACGGAUGUGGCCAUGGAAGUAGGGGCUGACCAUGGUUAGAACAGUUGCACAAGUAAGCAUAGUUUAAAGGUGAUUAUUAGCGUCCGAGCAUGCUGACACACACAGACCAGAGUACUUCCUCUUUCUUAGAUUAGAUUACUUCUGUUUUUUGUUUUUUAAAUGUAUUUUAUUCAUAAUACAAAAAUCAACUUACAUUGCUACAUCAAACAUGUCUAGCAAACCAAACACAGGUAUUAACAAUGCUCAAACAUACAAAAAAUCUAAAAAAUAAAAUACAAAAAAUAAACAAUUUAAGUGCAAUUAUAUUCACUCUGAAAAUAUCUUAUUAUAAUGAUAAUUUGUAAUUUUGGUAAUUUGUAAAAUGUAAUUUUGGUAUAGAAUUUUGGAAUUUUUGUUUGUGUAUAAAGUAUUUGGCAACAAGAAUUAAAAAAAUUAACAAUCA